AUUGAACGCUGGCGGCAUGCUUUACACAUGCAAGUCGAACGGCAGCGCGGGCUUCGGCCUGGCGGCGAGUGGCGAACGGGUGAGUAAUGCAUCGGAACGUGCCCAGUAGUGGGGGAUAGCCCGGCGAAAGCCGGAUUAAUACCGCAUACGACCUGAGGGUGAAAGCGGGGGACCGAAAGGCCUCGCGCUAUUGGAGCGGCCGAUGUCGGAUUAGCUAGUUGGUGGGGUAAAGGCUUACCAAGGCGACGAUCCGUAGCUGGUCUGAGAGGACGACCAGCCACACGGGGAUUGAGACCGGGCCCAGACCCCUACGGGGGGCAGGAGUGGGGAAUUUUGGAAAAGGGGGGCAACCCUGAUCCAGCCAGGCCGCGGGCGGGAAGAAGGCCUUGGGGUUGUAAACCGCUUUUGUUGGGGAAAAAAUCCUCUGGGCUAAUACCCCGGGGGGAUGACGGUACCGGAAAAAAAAGCACCGGCUAACUACGU
rnacentral:rRNA from 1 species